rnacentral:lncRNA from 1 species
AACAUCAUAGAUUUGGAGGCAUAUACUAUGGCAUCUAAGGAGGCAAUCAAUGCUAAAUUCGAAGCCUUGGAGGCACGAAUGGAGGAUAAGAUUCGGACGCUCUUUACCGAACUCAGAUUGGGCCGACCACUAAGCCCGAAGAAAUCAUAUCAAGGAGAGAGCUUUGCCCAAUCACACCAACCCCAAAGAUAUGACUUCCAAGAGAGGGGAAGCUCUAUGACCAACCCCAACUAUCCAUGCAUGAGAGUGGACUUCCCUAGAUGGGAAGA